UGCCCCAUGGCUGAGUUGGUUACAGCGUCCGACUGUUACGGCUACGGCUGGAAGACAUCGGAAGGUCGAGAGUUCGAGCCUCUCUGGGGCAG